rnacentral:rRNA from 1 species
CGAUCUACCCAAGGGUGGGGGACAACUCAGGGAAACCUGAGCUAAUACCGCGUACAGCGCCGGCUUGGAAGCCUGGCGUGAAAGCUGGCCUCUACUUGUAAGCUAGCGCCUUUGGAUGAGCUCGCGGCCUAUCAGCUUGUUGGUAAGGUAAUGGCUUACCAAGGCGAAGACGGGUAGCUGGUCUGAGAGGAUGAUCAGCCACACUGGCACUGGAACACGGGCCAG